UUUUUUCUUCCUUUUUUCUUCCUUUUUUCUUCCUUUUUUCUUCCUUUUUUCUUCCUUUUUUCUUCCUUUUUUCUUCCUUUUUUCUUCCUUUUUUCAUUUUACUUUUACUUUCUUUUCUUUCCCUUUCCCACUUUGCCCCUUUUCCUUUUUUCUCUUUCUGCUUUUUCUCUUCCCCUUUUCCCCCUUUUCCUCUUUCCCCUUUUCUUCUUUUCCCCUUUCCCUUUUUCCCUUUCCCCUUUUCCGCCUUUUCCUCUUCCCCUUUUCUUCUUUUCCCCUUUCCCCUCUUCUCCUUUUCUCUUUUUAUUUUUCCCUUUUUCUUUACUUUUCCUGUAUUUUUCCUUCUUUCUUCUCUUUUUUUCCUCCUCUUUUUCUUCUGUUUUAAAGUACUCCCCCUGCCUAGUUUGAGCUUCUCCCUUCCCCAAGCCUGUGAUCACCCUCUCCCAUAUUACUCCAUGUCCCUGUCUCUCAGAUCCAUAGAAAGCUGAGAAAUUUGUGACAUUUGGAUCCAAUGUCCAGGAAGGUAUGGGAGGAACUGCACAGCUGAGCAUCAUUUCUGCCAUGGAGAUGCUUCACCCCUGACAUCCCGUGGCCUCUCCUGGUGUCCAGGGAAAGAUUCCAUUCCAUCACACAUUGGACACCAGCAGUGUCUGCGUGGAUUUGGCUCUGCAGGAGAAUGAAAUGGGAGAUGGAAUCUGGUCCCUGGUGCACCAGAGGAAGACAUUGCCCCAAACCUCAGCCACUUGUCCCAGCUCUGCCCUGCAGGAUAUUUGAGCUGGGCACCUUCUGUUUGAAGAGCAGGAUUUGCCAAGCUCUGAAGGCAUCCCCAUCCCACAUUCCCUGUGCAAAAAUGAGUGUUCAAGAGCACAGGAGAAAUGGGCUCCAAGGAGGAAGGGCAGGCAGGACUCCCCAUCCCGGGUGAUUGUGGGGAUGAGAGUGUGGAAGAUACUGAACUUCCCACAGGGGUGAUGUCUUAGUCAGAGGAGCAACAUCUCAAGUGUGGUUUGCUGGUUCUGGCUGCCUGGGAUAGUCCAGGCUGGAACCACAGAUUGCUUGCCAGGAGAAUUUUUGAGUCAAACAUUCAAAAUGUGGUUGGGUUUUUUGUCUUCUGUAUUAACAGUUUCUGUGUGAAGCUCAAAUACCUGGAGAACAGGAGCUAAG
rnacentral:lncRNA from 1 species